GUUCAGACGGCGUCGGACGCAGCCAACGGUCGGUUGGUAGUAGCUGCGCGAGCCUCGGACAGCGAGACUGUAAAUUAUUCAUCAAAGCACCGAUCUCAUAGUGAGCCUUGAGUCAUUGGGGUAGUAAAAACAACCAAUAAGAGGACCUGGUUGACCCAAAAUACAAUACAGUACGUCUAUCACAAGUCCGUGUGGAUGAAUGCACGAGUCCACCUUGUAAAGAGGCCGCUUCCAGCGCUCCUCCUUCCCCGUUGAGUCUGUCGGUUGGUCUCCCUCUGUGGCUCUCUCUCUCUGCGUGGAGGAAUGCGCAGGAAUUUUCUCCGGCAGCGUCAAAACGAAGCCCUACGACAGUGGAAAAGUAAGUCCAGCGACCGUAUCGAGCAUUAAUACUUCGCUUACUUCGUUAUGGAUGUUGUUAUUUACUUUCGGUCGAAUUAACAUUACCAUAAACAUUAGGUGUGCGCUCUGGUGGGCGCGUGUCGCUCGGGCAGCAGCUCCUUGAGCCGCUCUUAUCGGACUGAGAAAAAAAUGGAUCCACUUCCGCCCUGGGG